GGGGGGGUGGGGGUGCUUGCACGAAAAAAACGUGAAAUAAGACAUCAUUUCACGUUGAACGUGAAAUAAUUUCUGUCAUGAACGUUGCACGAAAAACAAAGACUUUGAUGUGAACCUUUUGUGACUGAGUCACUGUCUUCAUGUAUGUACCUGUAAACUCUCUGUUGUACUUGAAAACUUUAAAAUCGAUAAGGAACAAUAUCAAAGGCCUUCC
rnacentral:lncRNA from 1 species